UGAAGAGAAAAAUAGGACAUACAGGUUUGCCCCUUUUUUUCACUGACUUGUUACACUCAAAAUCUUAUGUACCACACCAUGUACACAGUGAUAAGAGUUUACUGCUAGUCCAGUAAAUAUUCUAACAGUCUAAAUUAUCUGAUUA